CUACGGGAUGCUGCAGUGAGGAAUAUUGCACAAUGGGGGGAACCCUGGUGCAGCAACGCCGCGUGGAGGAUGACGCAUUUCGGUGUGUAAACUCCUUUUAUAUGUCAAGAAAAUUACGGUAGCAUAUGAAUAAGCACCGGCUAACUCCGUGCCAGCAGCCGCGGUAAUACGGAGGGUGCAAGCGUUACUCGGAAUCACUGGGCGUAAAGGACGCGUAGGCGGGUUGGAAAGUCAGGUGUGAAAUCCUACAGCUUAACUGUAGAACUGCACUUGAAACUUCUAAUCUAGAGUAUGGGAGGGGGAGAUGGAAUUAGUGGUGUAGGGGUAAAAUCCGUAGAUAUCACUAGGAAUACCUAAAGCGAAGGCGAUCUCCUGGAACAUUACUGACGCUAAGGCGUGAAAGCGUGGGGAGCAAACAGGAUUAGAUACCCGUGUAGUC
rnacentral:rRNA from 1 species